rnacentral:rRNA from 1 species
AAGUUUACUUUGGAUUCUUAGCGGCGGACGGGUGAGUAACGCGUGGGCAACCUACCCUGUACAGGGGGAUAACAAUGGGAAACCAUUGCUAAUACCCCAUGACGCCUUUUGGGGGCAUCCCUAAAAGGUCAAAGAACUUCGGUACGGGAUGGGUCCGCGUCUGAUUAGCUAGUUGGUGAGGUAAUGGCUCACCAAGGCGACGAUCAGUAGCCGGCCUGAGAGGGUGAACGGCCACACUGGAACUGAGACACGGUCCAGACUCCUACGGGAGGCAGCAGUGGGGAAUAUUGCACAAUGGGCGAAAGCCUGAUGCAGCAACGCCGCGUGAGCGAUGAAGGCUUUCGGGUCGUAAAGCUCUGUCCUAAGGGAAGAUAAUGACGGUACCUUAGGAGGAAGCCCCGGCUAACUACGUGCCAGCAGCCGCGGUAAUACGUAGGGGGCAAGCGUUAUCCGGAAUCAUUGGGCGUAAAGGGUGCGUAGGCAGCCCUAUAGGUCAGAGGUCAAAGGCUACGGCUCAACCGUAGUAAGCCUUUGAAACUGUAGGGCUUGAGUGCAGGAGAGGAGAGUGGAAUUCCUAGUGUAGCGGUGAAAUGCGUAGAUAUUAGGAGGAACACCAGUGGCGAAGGCGACUCUCUGGACUGCAACUGACGCUGAGGCACGAAAGCGUGGGGAGCGAACAGGAUUAGAUACCCUGGUAGUCCACGCCGUAAACGAUGAGUGCUAGGUGUCGGGGGUCGAACCUCGGUGCCGCAGCUAACGCAUUAAGCACUCCGCCUGGGGAGUACGUUCGCAAGAAUGAAACUCAAAGGAAUUGACGGGGACCCGCACAAGCAGCGGAGCAUGUGGUUUAAUUCGAAGCAACGCGAAGAACCUUACCUGGACUUGACAUCCCUCGGACCGCUUUUUAACCAAAGCCUUCCCUUCGGGGACUGAGGUGACAGGUGGUGCAUGGUUGUCGUCAGCUCG